rnacentral:rRNA from 1 species
GAGUUUGAACCUGGCUCAGGACGAACGCUGGCGGCGUGCCUAAUACAUGCAAGCCGAACGGAGAUAUUCGCUGAUGAAGUACUUCGGUAAUGAAUCUUGGAUAUCUUAGUGGCGGACGGGUGAGUAACGCGUGAGCAACCUGCCUUUCAGAGGGGGAUAACGUUUGGAAACGAACGCUAAUACCGCAUGACAUUAUCUUAUCGCAUGGUAGGAUAAUCAAAGGAGCAAUCCGCUGAAAGAUGGGCUCGCGUCCGAUUAGGUAGUUGGUGGGGUAACGGCCCACCAAGCCGACGAUCGGUAGCCGGACUGAGAGGUUGGACGGCCACAUUGGGACUGAGACACGGCCCAGACUCCUACGGGAGGCAGCAGUAAGGGAUAUUGGUCAAUGGGGGAAACCCUGAACCAGCAACGCCGCGUGAGGGAAGACGGUUUUCGGAUUGUAAACCUCUGUCCUCUGUGAAGAUGAUGACGGUAGCAGAGGAG